ensembl:lncRNA
CCCUCAUCUACAAUCAUGCUCACCUGGUCUUCAUCCCCAAUCAACCCCCUUCAUAAACCCUUGGAUUCCCUGCUGUCGGCGCCAGAUCGUACUACGCAGUACCGAGUUACCCGGAUCACUCACUCCAGCUCGCCCACAUCGCUCUUCCCCCGGCUCCCUUAUCCACUACCUGCUUCCCACAUAAACCCCUUUUUAUCCCUUCAACAUCGUAUCUGUCUGCUCUUGGGUUCAGCAUCGUCUACCAUAUCAAAGAAGGGCAUUGUCCUGCCUCUGACAGGACACUGCUCUGCAGUGACCUCUUCAGCAGUGAGGACUUUGACAGGAUGGGGCCGACUGUCCGGCUUAAAGAUGGUGUUGUGCCAACCCUUUUCAACUUUCCAGCUCAUCUUCAAAGGACCACUGUUAAAAGAGCGGAAGACAACCUGGCAACGGACUUGAUGCCUGAUGUUGGAGUUACUGGAGAGAGGAGAUUGAGCCGCAAGCGGCAGGUCAUUGACGACCACUUGUAUGCAUUGCCUGUUUGCCCUACGGCUAUGAAGGCCAAACUUUAAGAAGCCUCAGCGAGAGUGAGGAAACUGCAGCGGGAGAAGAUCAAUGGCUUCAGGAGAGAAAACAGAACAACAUGCAGGCUGUUCUGGAGGAACUGAAGGAGAAAAAUCUCAUCAACGAAGAGCUGAAAGACGAGCUUGAAUGCCACUCAGAUCUUCCGGUUCAUCUCCUGUUGAGGCAGGGCGUAGAGUACACCAAGGCCCAGAGAGAUUCUGCCCUAACGCUCCAUCUGCAUGGUCCAAAGGCAUAUCACUUCCUGAGAGAUACUCUGCACAUUCACCUGCCACAUCCCAAUUCAUUGCAGAGGUAUUCUUCAUGAUGUCUAAUUUUACAUUACAGUUACAUUAAGCACUACAGACAAUAUUAUUUAGUGUAUCCACCAUAGGGAUGCUUGUGUUAGUGGUUAAAUGGCUACGUGGUUAAAUAUCUUCUUUUUAAUUACACAAGGUGGCUGAGCUCUCUUGAUGCCAGACCUGGUCUCAAUAAAAUGAUGUUGUACAUAUUGGAAAGACGGCGUCAGGAAGAUGAGGUCAAAUACGGCUAUGUCACUCUGAUGCUGGAUGCCAUGUACAUCAAAAAACACGUCCAACAUGAUCCUCAGACACAAACAAUGUUUAGAUAUGUGGACAUGGGGGAUCGACUGAAUGAGACUGACAUAGCUUCCGAGGUUCUUGUGUUUAUGAUAGUUGGGCUUCAAGGUUAUUGGAAAGCUCCAAUUGCAUAUUAUUUGACCAAGUCCCUCACACCAGAAUCACAGAAAGUGUUAGUAGAACAUGCAUUAGAAGAGCUGCAUCAUCAGAUAAGGGUGGUGUGUGCAUGACAAUGGAUGGUCAUGCAACAAAUAUCAGUAUGUGCACCCAACUUGGGUGUGAUUUAAAAGCAGACCCCUGUAAGCCCUUGAAGACCCAUUUCCCACAUCCAGUAACCCAUCACAAUGUUUUUGUUAUGAUGGAUGCUUGCCACAUGCUGAAGCUGACACGCAAUAUGUUGCAGGUACAUGCUCAUUAUUGCCCAUUUUCUCUGACUGUUCUGCUUUUUAUACAUUUAGAUUUUAUUUACAUAAUUCUGCAGAAUAUGGUGCUUUACAGUUGACGUGUGCAGUGAAAAUCUGAUUCUGCAGGCAUACAGCCAAAUUAGAAGCAUAACUGGCAGUAUCAAUUGGAAGUACAUAGUUCAGCUGAACAAUGUCUAAAGAAAAGUAGACUACAUGCUGCCAACCGAGUCACAUAAGCAUGUGAACUUUGCUAAUCAGAAGUUGAAGUCAAUCAAGGUCUCCCUGGCAGCUCAGACUUUGAGUAACUCUGUGGCAGGGGCGCUCCGCACCUUGCAGGACGUGGGCUAUGCAGAGUUCAAAGAUUGUGAGGGUACUUCUGAAUUAAUUAAGAUAACAGACAAGCUGUUUGACAUCUUGAACAGUCGCAAUCCCAGAGCCAAAGGGUUCAAAGCCCCCCCUUGGUUCCAGGAAUUGGACAAGCACCAGGGAGUUCUUGAUAAAACCCAGGGGGUACUUGCUCACUUUGAAGAUCGAGGAUGGCAAACCCCUUUACCGAACAAAGAGGUCUUUUAAAAUAGUGUCAAUUAGUGAUGCACUUACACCAUUUGUAGUCGCCAAUACCCAGUUCAAAUUCUUAAUUCUAAUUCAAUUGUGUGCUCAAUUAGAAAAUAAAUGUUUAUUUUAUUAUUCGUUAGAUUUAUACAAGUAGUCAAUUUACAAAUCAUUAAAUUAUCUAAGGUAAAACUCUACUGGUUUCAGUGCAUCCCUCAAGUCCAUGAUAUAAGUUCAACAGAUGCUCUGUUUUAUCUACAGUCUCUGUGUCUUCUGCAUCAAGUUCAGAUGCUCUGUCCUCCUGUCUGCAUCAAGUUCAUAAGAUGCUCUGUCCUGUAAAAUGUUCUGUCCUGUCUGCAUCGAGUUCAUGAGAUGCUCUUUUCUGUUCAUGUAUUGCAUGGUCUGCAUGUUACGGUGUGAAUUGAUGGUGAAUUUAAAGUCAGGGAUGCAAACUAGUCAGCUUUACACCCCCACCCCCCCCCACCACCCAAAUGUGGCAAUGAAGUGAAUUGUUUGAAAUGUGGAUUUGUGUCUGCCCUGAGAAGUCGUAACUACGGCACAAAUAAAGUCUUUGGCAUAAAAAAUUAAUAAAAAUCAAAAUAAUAAUAAAAAA